UGAAAGGAACAGCAUUGGGGAGCACGCUGAAAGGAACAGCAUUGGGGAACACGCUGAAAGGAACAGCAUUGGGGAACACGCUGAAAGGAACAGCAUUGGGGAGCACGCUGAAAGGAACAGCAUUGGGGAGCGCUGAAAGGAACAGCAUUGGGGAGCACGCUGAAAGGAACAGCAUUGGGGAACACUGAAAGGAACAGCAUUGGGGAGCACGCUGAAAGGAACAGCAUUGGGGCGCACGCUGAAAGGAACAGCAUUGGGGAGCACGCUGAAAGGAACAGCAUUGGGGAGCACGCUGAAAGGAACAGCAUUGGGGAGCACACUGAAAGGAACAGCAUUGGGGAACACUCUGAAAGGAACAGCAUUGGGGAACACGCUGAAAGGAACAGCAUUGGGGAACACGCUGAAAGGAACAGCAUUGGGGAACACGCUGAAAGGAACAGCAUUGGGGAACACUGAAAGGAACAGCACUGGGGAGCACACUGAAUGAACUGUAAAGCAGAGCGAGGUAGACUUAAGAGUGGUCAUCAAGAGGACCGUGAUAACUAAGACCACGAGACAGUUUUAGGUGAAGUUAAAAGGCCCUUUUAACCCUCUUCCUAGGCAAAGGGUAUAGUAAGGGAGUUUUACUUUAAAGCCUUGCUGGUUGCCCUUUGUAGUCUUCAGAGUAGGGUUAUGUUUCUCCUCUAAUUCUAGUGCUUCUGAUUUGUCUCCCAUAGAUAACAAAGCUGCAGCCCUUUUGAUGCUGACAAAGAGUGUGGAUCUUGUGAAAGACGCUCAUGAAGAAAUGGAGCAG
rnacentral:lncRNA from 1 species